rnacentral:rRNA from 1 species
AGACCCGAAACCCGGUGAUCUAGCCAUGGGCAGGUUGAAGGUUGGGUAACACUAACUGGAGGACCGAACCGACUAAUGUUGAAAAAUUAGCGGAUGACCUGUGGCUGGGGGUGAAAGGCCAAUCAAACCGGGAGAUAGCUGGUUCUCCCCGAAAGCUAUUUAGGUAGCGCCUCGUGAAUUCAUCUCCGGGGGUAGAGCACUGUUUCGGCUAGGGGGCCAUCCCGGCUUACCAACCCGAUGCAAACUGCGAAUACCGGAGAAUGUUAUCACGGGAGACACACGGCGGGUGCUAACGUCCGUCGUGAAGAGGGAAACAACCCAGACCGCCAGCUAAGGUCCCAAAGUCAUGGUUAAGUGGGAAACGAUGUGGGAAGGCCCAGACAGCCAGGAUGUUGGCUUAGAAGCAGCCAUCAUUUAAAGAAAGCGUAAUAGCUCACUGGUCGAGUCGGCCUGCGCGGAAGAUGUAACGGGGCUAAACCAUGCACCGAAGCUGCGGCAGCGACGCUGAUGCGUUGUUGGGUAGGGGAGCGUUCUGUAAGCCUGCGAAGGUGGCCUGUGAGGGUUGCUGGAGGUAUCAGAAGUGCGAAUGCUGACAUAAGUAACGAUAAAGCGGGUGAAAAGCCCGCUCGCCGGAAGACCAAGGGUUCCUGUCCAACGUUAAUCGGGGCAGGGUGAGUCGACCCCUAAGGCGAGGCCGAAAGG